rnacentral:rRNA from 1 species
AUUGAACGCUGGCGGCAGGCCUAACACAUGCAAGUCGAACGGUAGCAGGAAGAAGCUUGCUUCUUUGCUGACGAGUGGCGGACGGGUGAGUAAUGUCUGGGAAACUGCCUGAUGGAGGGGGAUAACUACUGGAAACGGUAGCUAACACCGCAUAACGUCGCAAGACCAAAGAGGGGGACCUUCGGGCCUCUUGCCAUCAGAUGUGCCCAGAUGGGAUUAGCUAGUAGGUGGGGUAACGGCUCACCUAGGCGACGAUCCCUAGCUGGUCUGAGAGGAUGACCAGCCACACUGGAACUGAGACACGGUCCAGACUCCUACGGGAGGCAGCAGUGGGGAAUAUUGCACAAUGGGCGCAAGCCUGAUGCAGCCAUGCCGCGUGUGUGAAGAAGGCCUUCGGGUUGUAAAGCACUUUCAGCGGGGAGGAAGGGGGAAUGGUUAAUAACCAUUGCCAUUGACGUUACCCGCAGAAGAAGCACCGGCUAACUCCGUGCCAGCAGCCGCUGUAA